rnacentral:rRNA from 1 species
GAACGCGCUCUCUCUUCGCUAGUGAGAGGGAGCGAGUGGCGGACGGGUGAGUACACAUGGGUACCUGCCUUCCAGUGAGGAAUACCGGCGAGAAAUCGCCGACAAGACCGCAUAGGCUCCCUUGAGAGAGGGAGCAAAGCCCUUUCGAUGAGAGAGGGCGCUGGAAGAGGGGCCUGUGGCCGAUUAGCUGGUUGGUGGGGUAAGAGCCUACCAAGGCGACGAUCGGUAGCUGGUCUGAGAGGACGAGCAGCCACACUGGGAUUGAGAACGGCCCAGACUCCUACGGGGGGCAGCAGUGAGGAAUUUUCGGCAAUGGGGGCAACCCUGACCGAGCAACGCCGCGUGCCGGAAGACGGCCUUCGGGUUGUAAACGGCUUUUCUUGAGGACGAGCGUCGGACGGUACUCAAGGAAGAAGCCCCGGCUAACUACGUGCCAGCAGCCGCGGUAAG